rnacentral:rRNA from 1 species
CCUACGGGAGGCAGCAGUGGGGAAUCUUGCGCAAUGGCCGAGAGGCUGACGCAGCGACGCCGCGUGGGGGAUGAAGCAUUUCGGUGUGUAAACCCCUGUUGCUCGGGACGAACGACCGGUUUCGACCGGUGUGACGGUACCGAGUGAGGAAGCACCGGCUAACUCCGUGCCAGCAGCCGCGGUAAUACGGAGGGUGCGAGCGUUGUCCGGAAUCACUGGGCGUAAAGGGCGCGUAGGUGGUUAGAUGCGCCGGUGGUGAAAGCGCAGGGCUCAACCCCUGCGUCGGCCAUCGGGACGGUCUGACUGGAGCACUGUAGAGGCAGGUGGAAUUCCGGGUGUAGCGGUGGAAUGCGUAGAGAUCCGGAAGAACACCGGUGGCGAAGGCGGCCUGCUGGGCAGUUGCUGACACUGAGGCGCGACAGCGUGGGGAGCAAACAGGAUUAGAUACCCUGGUAGUCCACGCCGUAAACCGAUGGGCACUAGGUGCUUGGGGGUAGCGACCCCCGUGAGUGCCGACGCUAACGCAUUAAGUGCCCGCCUGGGGAGUACGACCGCAGGUUGAACUCAAGGAAUUGACGGCUGAGACGCGACGACGACGACGACGGAGGAGG